UACAUAGGUCCCGAGCGUUAUCCGGAAUUACUGGGCGUAAAGUGUCCGUAGCCUGAUAUGUAAGUCUGUUUUCAAAUACCAUGGCUUAACCAUGGAGAGGGAAUAGAUACUGCAUAUCUGGAAGUUCUUGGGGGUUAGUGGAAUUUCCGGUGGAGCGGUGAAAUGUGUUGAUAUCGGAAAGAACGCCGAAAGCGAAAGCAGCUAACUACAAUAAACUUGACGGUAAGGGACGAAAGCUUGGGGAGCGAAC
rnacentral:rRNA from 1 species